UACGUAGGGGGCUAGCGUUGUCCGGAAUCAUUGGGCGUAAAGCGCGUGUAGGCGGUCCGGUAAGUCCGCUGUGAAAGUCGGGGGCUCAACCCUCGGAUGCCGGUGGAUACUGUCGGGCUUGAGUACGGAAGAGGCGAGUGGAAUUCCUGGUGUAGCGGUGGAAUGCGCAGAUAUCAGGAGGAACACCAAUGGCGAAGGCAGCUCUCUGGUACGUGACUGACACUGAGACGCGAAAGCGUGGGGAGCGAACAGG
rnacentral:rRNA from 1 species